GCCGGUGAGAGUUGAAGGCUUGUGUUUUCAUGUAUUUCAAAAUAAACAUGGCGGAGAAAGAGAAUGAGCAAACGUCAGGAUCCCAUCAGGAUGACCAGCCUCCCAGUCCUGUCAGCUUCAAUUUCAUGGUGCCAAAGAAGGAGAUCAGCAUGGUGUCUGAUAUGGGCAAAUGGAAAAAAUCACAGGCAUAUGCAGACUACGUCGGAUUCAUUCUGACCCUCAAUGAAGCUGUGAAGGGAAAGAAACUUACAUGUGAUUACCAGGUGUCUGAGACAGUGGAGAGGUUGCUUGCUUUGUUGGACACAUUAGAUUGCUGGAUUGAUGAGAUGCCACCAGUAGACCAGCCUUCUCGCUUUGGCAAUAAAGCCUUCCGUAACUGGUAUUCCAUGCUAGAACAGAGGGCUGAGAAUCUGGUCACUAUUGUUCUCCCAGAAGACCGUCAUGAUGCUGCUCCAGAGAUAGCCGAGUACCUGUUAGAGUCUGUGGGCAAUUCCACCAGAAUUGACUACGGUACAGGUCAUGAGGCUGCGUUUGCUGCAUUCCUCUGUUGUCUUUGUAAGGUGGGAGCUCUACGCAUGGAGGACCAGCUGGCCAUCGUAUUUAAAGUGUUUGACAAGUAUCUGCGAUUGACGCGCAGACUGCAGAAAACAUACAGGAUGGAGCCAGCGGGAAGCCAGGGGGUGUGGGGUCUCGAUGACUUUCAGUUUCUUCCCUUCAUAUGGGGCAGUUCACAGCUUAUAGGACACCCAACCCUGGAGCCCAGGCACUUCUUGGAGGAGAAGGUUGUGAACGAGCAUCAUCAAGACUACAUAUUUCUGGAGUGCAUUAAAUUCAUCAAUGAGGGAGGUUGUGUUUGGACUCCACUCACACGAGUCAUUUCCUUCCUUCCCUGCACGUUGUUGUGAAUCACUCCUAGGGCCCACCCCUCCUUUCUUUUUCACUUACCCCUCGCUCUCUUUUUCCUUCUCUUCAUUCCUCUAAGUGGGGCUAGUGGGUCUUGGGAAAGUCAGACUUGAUGAGGGCAGUGUGUGUGUGUGUGUAUGUGUGUAAAGCUACACAGCACUACCAUUCAUAAACUACCCUUUCCCAAGGGCAGCCCCUCUUUCUCAUAAACUCAUGAAAAGGCCUGAUAGUACAUUAACUUUAUUGAUAAUUACAUUGCUAAAACAUUACUUAUAGUAAUUAUAUUAUUAGAUUUGUAUACUCUGUGUACAUAUGCUGUUAAUUUACUUACUGUUAAAUAAUCUAACAACUCCACUUAUUUUUUAUGAACGUUCUCUUUAAAGAAAUAUUCCGGGUUCAGUACAAGUUAAGCUCAGUCGACAGAAUUUGUGGCAUAAUGUUGAUUACAACAAAAGAUUAUUUUGACCCGUUUCGCCUUUAAAAAAAAAAGUACAAAUCGAGGUUACAGUGAGGCACCUACAGUGGAAUUACAACUGAUUAUUGUGGCCAGUUUUUGGAGUUUAGAAACUUGUUUUAUAAAAGCACUUACAUUAAUUCUUCUGUUACAACUCAUGAAUUAUUUGAGCUUUAAAGUUGUUUAAAUUGUCAUUUAAACUGACGUUUUAGGGUUUUAGUGUUUACGCCGUGACAUCGUCAUGACAACAAAGAUAUUACAUUUGAUUUUACUUUACGCAGUAAAAGUUAGCAAGUGAUUUUAUCACACUAAAGCCAGUUUAACAAAAAUAUUGUUUACGUCAUGUGGCUAUACUUUUGAAAUAGUGAGUAUUUUAAUGUUUACGAACUGGCGCUAUUCACUUCCAUUGGAAGUGCCUCACUAUACUUAAAUUUUUGCUUUUUAAAGAAAAUGAGGGACGAGACUAAAUUAAUUUUGUGAUAAUCAACAUUGUGCCACAAAUGCUGUUGAUUGAGUUUAACUUGUAUUGAACCCGGAAUAUUCCUUAAGUAGUUUUGCCAUUAAUCUGCUAGUAUCAGUGCUUUUUAGACCAGUCAUUUCUACAACUACCACUUUUUUUUUUUUUUUUUUGCAGUUGUUUUGCAUACAAUCAUAUAACUUCCACAACAAUAAACAGAUAAUUACUAAAUAUCUCUUAUUGAGGGGUAAUCAUUAUCAUUUCUAUUAUCAUUAUCAUGUCUUUGCCCCCUCUUCUGGUCUGUGAUUAAAUUAGAAACAAGAAUGUUCCGUUCGCUCUUUAGAGUAAAUUAUAUUUUUAUCUUCGUAACAUACCACAAAAAUUUAUUUUUCUCAUUCCAUUUUUUUUUAUUUUUUUAUUAUUUGGUUUCCAUUCACCUUAUAUAAAUCAGGAAAGCAAGUCAUUGUGGAUUUCAAGUUGCCCCUGUCAAAUCCACCUUUAAUGUUGCUGAUUACACAGUAUGUUCAAAAUGUUGUAUCUUUUUAAUCACUACAUUCUUGUUUUUUUUUUGUUUUUGUUUUUUUCUUCCAUUAGAUGAAAACAGGCCCCUUUGCUGAACACUCUAACCAGCUUUGGAACAUCAGUGCUGUUCCUUCCUGGUCCAAAGUCAAUCAAGGUCUCAUACGAAUGUACAAAGCGGAAUGUCUAGAAAAAUUCCCAGUCAUCCAGCAUUUCAAGUUUGG